CCUUCUGGGUUUCCACGUGGUUUCGUCGGACUACCAAAAGGGUAGGCUGGUAAUUUCCUCUUUUCAAUUCCUUCUUUGUUUGCCGCGUGUGUGCACAUCCGCAGAAAAGAUCCACGCCUUGGAUCUUCAAUCUUCCAUAUUUUGCUGAUUCUAAAAAUCUUUGCAUAUCUCUCUGUGCCGGUUGCUCUGAUUUUGCUCCUGACUCUCUCGAUAGAUUAGGAGCCAUUAUUUUCCUCCGCCACCAAGCCUCGAAAGGUUUCUCCGGCGGUCAUUUCGCCUCUACGAGGCUUCAACUCCACCUUUGCAUAAUGCCUAGCUCUUUCUUUUUGACUGGGUUUUGGAGGUUCUUCAUCUAUAUUACUUGAGUCCAGAAUCUGGAUAUUUAGGUUUUGCUUGGACCUCUGACUCAAAAAUAAGUUAGUCGACUUACUACUUAUUGUUUAAUGAAUUGAUGAGAUACAACUAAAGUAGAGCUUAAUUUGAUUUUGAUUUGUCCGAGUUUUCAAUGGGUAAAAAAAAUGUAUCUUAAACAGGUAAAAAAAUUCCAACAGUAGAAAUACUUUAACAAAAAUCCUAUGUAAAAAUUCCUCAGUGUCCUUCAUUCUUUAUGAUUUCUAAUCAUGGUUUUGGACCUCCUAUUGCACCCAUCAACUCCAUUCUCUGUGGCUCUUUUUCCAUUUUUAAUAUGAUUUGGUUGGCUUGCAUUGAUAAUUCCGUUGGAGAAGUACAUGACUUUCUGUAGUUUGCUUCAUUAUUGUAUAUUCUGCUUAAGGUUUGAUGUUUUAUGCCUACUUUUGUGGUGAUUUUUCCUUGGUGUCUAUUACUUUAUGCAUCAUGGAAAAAAUUUACACUAUUUCUAUAUUUCUCUUUGGACAAUCGCAACAUAUUUUUCUACUCGGAAUAGCAAAUUAUAGUUUAGUGCCAGACGUUUACACAGUUUUGGAGCUCCACUUUCCUUUCCCUUCACUCGCUCCUUAAAAUUGAGUAUCGAAUUAUAUUGAAAUGAAACUCUGAGGAAGAGAUGCUGCUAGGUUUAGGAAAUUUCACUUAGUCUUCUAUGUAGAAGUAGAGGUUAUGACCUCAAAUUGAGUAAUAUAUCUGUCCUUCUGCAAUUUUGUUCUUUUAAGUAUCUUUAUUUUGCUUAUGUACCUCUGUCCAGGAGGUUCAGAGUUUUAAUUUCUCUGUUGGUUUGAGGUUAAUUUGUUUAAGUUACUUGUGUAACUUGAAAUAUGGAUGAUGACUUUGGUUCAUUAGUAUUCCAGAUUAGAUUCCUGACUGUGAUUUUGUGUGGUUAAUGUAUUGUGGUAUUUGUUAAUUGGUUUGUAGUAACAAUUAUCUGUGCUUUAAGGCAUAUCUUGGUA